GUAGGGUGCAAGCGUUAAUCGGAAUUACUGGGCGUAAAGCGUGCGCAGGCGGCUUUGCAAGACAGAUGUGAAAUCCCCGGGCUCAACCUGGGAACUGCAUUUGUGACUGCAAGGCUAGAGUACGGUAGAGGGGGAUGGAAUUCCGCGUGUAGCAGUGAAAUGCGUAGAUAUGCGGAGGAACACCGAUGGCGAAGGCAAUCCCCUGGACCUGUACUGACGCUCAUGCACGAAAGCGUGGGGAACAAACAGG
rnacentral:rRNA from 1 species